rnacentral:rRNA from 1 species
CCUGGUUGAUUCUGCCAGUAGUCAUAUGCUUGUCUCAAAGAUUAAGCCAUGCAUGUCUAAGUAUAAGCAAUUAUACAGCGAAACUGCGAAUGGCUCAUUAUAUAAGUUAUCGUUUAUUUGAUAGUACCUUACUACUUGGAUAACCGUGGUAAUUCUAGAGCUAAUACAUGCUGAAAAUCCCGACUCCGGAAGGGAUGUAUUUAUUAGAUUAAAAACCAAUGCCCCCGUGGCUCGCUGGUGAAUCAUGAUAACUUCUCGAAUCGCAUGGCCUUGCGCCGGCGAUGGUUCAUUCAAAUUUCUUCCCUAUCAACUUUCGAUGUUUGGGUAGUGGCCAAACAUGGUUGCAACGGGUAACGGAGGGUUAGGGCUCGACCCCGGAGAAGGAGCCUGAGAAACGGCUACUACAUCCAAGGAAGGCAGCAGGCGCGCAAAUUACCCAAUCCCGACCCGGGGAGGUAGUGACAAUAAAUACUGAUACAGGGCUCUUUUGGGUCUUGUAAUUGGAAUGAGUACAAUUUAAAUCCCUUAACGAGGAACAAUUGGAGGGCAAGUCUGGUGCCAGCAGCCGCGGUAAUUCCAGCUCCAAUAGCGUAUAUUAAAGUUGUUGUGGUUAAAAAGCUCGUAGUUGAACCUUGGGCCUGGCUGGCCGGUCCGCCUCACCGCGUGUACUGGUCCGGCCGGGCCUUUCCCUCUGUGGAACCCCAUGCCCUUCACUGGGCGUGGCGGGGAAACAGGACUUUUACUUUGAAAAAAUUAGAGUGCUCCAGGCAGGCCUAUGCUCGAAUACAUUAGCAUGGAAUAAUGAAAUAGGACGCGCGGUUCUAUUUUGUUGGUUUCUAGGACCGCCGUAAUGAUUAAUAGGGACAGUCGGGGGCAUCAGUAUUCAAUUGUCAGAGGUGAAAUUCUUGGAUUUAUUGAAGACUAACUACUGCGAAAGCAUUUGCCAAGGAUGUUUUCAUUAAUCAGGAACGAAAGUUAGGGGAUCGAAGACGAUCAGAUACCGUCGUAGUCUUAACCAUAAACUAUGCCGACUAGGGAUCGGACGAUGU